rnacentral:rRNA from 1 species
GUCGGGAAUAUUGCGCAAUGGAGGAAACUCUGACGCAGUGACGCCGCGUAUAGGAAGAAGGUUUUCGGAUUGUAAACUAUUGUCGUUAGGGAAGAUAAAAGACUGUACCUAAGGAGGAAGCCCCGGCUAACUAUGUGCCAGCAGCCGCGGUAAUACAUAGGGGGCAAGCGUUAUCCGGAAUUAUUGGGUGUAAAGGGUGCGUAGACGGAAGAACAAGUUGGUUGUGAAAUCCCUCGGCUCAACUGAGGAACUGCAACCAAAACUAUUCUCCUUGAGUGUCGGAGAGGAAAGUGGAAUUCCUAGUGUAGCGGUGAAAUGCGUAGAUAUUAGGAGGAACACCAGUGGCGAAGGCGACUUUCUGGACGAUAACUGACGUUGAGGCACGAAAGUGUGGGGAGCAAACAGG